AUCAAAUUAGGGCUUCAGUCAGAGCAUCCCCUCACUCCAUCUUCUCAUUCGUGCUUCAAAGUGAAGGUUCCAGCCUCUGUGUCGCCAUUGUCAGCACAGCCCCGUCGUCGCCGCCGUCGUAACCACCGCAAGGAUAACAUCCGAGGAACCCAGUUGAGAGAGUCUCCUCUGUUGCUGUCGAUUUCAUCAGACUUCGUUGUUGUCAUCACAGUUUGUGUAACCUAGGUAACAAGUAGGAAAGGAAGUUAUGCAAAGGAAGCUAAUGAUAAUGCAUCA